GACGAACGCUGGCGGCGUGCUUAACACAUGCAAGUCGAACGGAAAGGCCCUGCUUUUGUGGGGUGCUCGAGUGGCGAACGGGUGAGUAACACGUGAGUAACCUGCCCUUGACUUUGGGAUAACUUCAGGAAACUGGGGCUAAUACCGGAUAGGAGCUCCUGCUGCAUGGUGGGGGUUGGAAAGUUUCGGCGGUUGGGGAUGGACUCGCGGCUUAUCAGCUUGUUGGUGGGGUAGUGGCUUACCAAGACUAUGACGGGUAGCCGGCCUGAGAGGGUGACCGGCCACAUGGGGACUGAGAUACGGCCCAGACUCCUACGGGAGGCAGCAGUGGGGAAUAUUGCACAAUGGGCGGAAGCCUGAUGCAGCAACGCCGCGUGCGGGAUGACGGCCUUCGGGUUGUAAACCGCUUUCGCCUGUGACGAAGCGUGAGUGACGGUAAUGGGUAAAGAAGCACCGGCUAACUACGUG
rnacentral:rRNA from 1 species